rnacentral:rRNA from 1 species
AUCGAACGCUGGCGGCAGGCCUAAUACAUGCAAGUCGAGCGAGCGGCGGAGGGGUGAGUAAUGUCUGGGCAACUGCCUGACGUAGGGGGCAAACUACUGGAAACGGUAGCUAAUACCGCAUAACAUCAGAUGUGCUCAGAUUGGAUUAGCUAGUAGGUGGGGUAAUGGCUCACAUAGGCGACGAUCCCUAGCCGGUCUGAGAGGGUGACCAGCCACACUGGAACUGAGACACGGUCCAGACUCCUACGGGAGGCAGCAGUGGGGAAUAUUGCGCAAUGGGCGCAAGCCUGAUGCAGCCAUGCCGCGUGUGUGAAGAAGGCCUUCGGGUUGUAAAGCACUUUCAGCGAGGAGGCGUUACUCGCAGAAGAAGCAACGGCUAACUCCGUGCCAGCAGCCGCGGUAAUAC